rnacentral:rRNA from 1 species
GACGAACGCUGGCGGCGUGCCUAAUACAUGCAAGUUGAACGCUAAAGCUUUAACUGGUGCUUGCACCGACUUAAGUUUUUAGAGUAGCGGACGGGUGAGUAACACGUGGGUAACCUGCCCAUCAGAGGGGGAUAACACUUGGAAACAGGUGCUAAUACCGCAUAAUUCCUUUUACCGCAUGGUAAAAGGCUGAAAGGCGCUUCUGGUGUCACUGAUGGAUGGACCCGCGGUGCAUUAGCUAGUCGGUGGGGUAACGGCCUACCGAGGCGAUGAUGCAUAGCCGACCUGAGAGGGUGAUCGGCCACAUUGGGACUGAGACACGGCCCAAACUCCUACGGGAGGCAGCAGUAGGGAAUCUUCGGCAAUGGACGAAAGUCUGACCGAGCAACGCCGCGUGAGUGAAGAAGGUUUUCGGAUCGUAAAACUCUGUUGUUAGAGAAGAACAGGAGAAGUAGUAACUGGCUUCUUUUUGACGGUAUCUAACCAGAAAGCCACGGCUAACUACGUGCCAGCCGCCGCCGUAACAC